GUGAGGAAUUUUGCGCAAUGGCCGCAAGGCUGACGCAGCAACGCCGCGUGGGUGAUGAAGGCCUUCGGGUCGUAAAGCCCUGUCAGGUGGGAAGAAAGGCUUGGAGAAGCAACGCUUUGAGUUUGACGGUACCACCAGAGGAAGCACCGGCUAACUCCGUGCCAGCAGCCGCGGUAAUACGGAGGGUGCGAGCGUUAUUCGGAAUUACUGGGCGUAAAGUGCGUGUAGGCGGGGAUGCAAGUCUGAUGUGAAAGCCCUGGGCUUAACCUGGGAAGUGCAUUGGAAACUGCAUUUCUUGAGUACUGGAGAGGAAGGGGGAAUUCCCGGUGUAGAGGUGAAAUUCGUAGAGAUCGGGAGGAAUACCAGUGGCGUAGGCGCCCUUCUGGACGGUAACUGACGCUGAGACGCGAAAGCGUGGGGAGCAAACAGGAUUAGAAACCCUAGUAGUCC
rnacentral:rRNA from 1 species